GAUGAUCUCCCACUGAGGCAACCACCCUCUCAGGAGUACUGUGAGGUGGAGGCCAAGCUGAAGCAGGACUUCUGCCUCAUCAGAAAAGCCAUGCAUGGUCUGCAGAGGCUCCUACAGAGGGAACAGGACCAUGGCUGGGGUAAUCAGCUGGAAGUCUUGAUCUAUGUUUACUAGCUGGCUCGUGGACUGUCCUAUCAGGUUGUAUCCAGCAUCGUCAAUGUGCCAAAAUCCACAGUCCACCACAUUAUCCACAAAGUUGCACAACACAUAUGGCUCAACCUGAAGCGUGCCAUCUGUUGUUCACACAAGCAGGAGAGCUUCAAGCAGUUGGGCAAGGAUUUGUCCAACUAUCAGGAAGCCCUACCUUCAACAACGUUGUGGGUGCAAUAGAUGGCUACCACAUCAGGAUCAAACCUCCACAGCACUGAGUAGACUAUUUGAACUACUAAGGAUUCUUUUCAAUAGCACAAUAAAUAUGCAGGCAAUAUGUGAUUCUAAUGGAAGAUUCCUUGAUAUCUUUGCUGGUUACCCAGGGUCGGUUCAUGACACCUGCAUGAUGAAGAAUAGUAGCUUUUACGGGGCAAGACGGUACCCUUCCACAGAUUACAUCCUUCUGGGUGAUGGUGGCUGCCCUUGUUUGGACACACCAAUCUGGCUUAUCACAUCUUACAAGGAGUCUGUUUAUGGACACAUACAGGUGUGCCUCAAUUAUUAUCAUUCCAGGGGGCACAGCAUAAUUGAAAGGGCUUUUGAAAUGGUGAAGACCAGAUGGAGAUCUACUCAUUUCAGAACCUUGGAGGUUAAACCCACAUUUGCACCUCUGGUUUUUGUGUCCUGUGCCUUUUUACACAAAGUGUUACUGGAUAAUGGGGAUGCAGAUGUUGCACAGGACAUCCUUGACCCCCAACGUCCCUGUGAACCCCUAGCAGAUAAUGAAAGCUCUGGGAAUGCUGCAAGGGAUGGACUGGCUGCCUUGGUCUCAGGCCAUGUGCAAGCUCCAUAGUGAUGAUGCUGUCUAUGAACAGAAAUGGAUAAGUGUGUAUAUGGCUUGUAUUUUAGCUAUGUUGAAACUGUUUAAAACCAUUUAUUUGCCAUGUUACAAUUUCUGUUUGAUGCACACAGAUGCUGCUUAUAGCUUAUC